AUGACCACCAGAUAUUCGGCAAUAUACAUGAUCUACAUAUCUCAGACUAUUGUUAGAAUAUUGGGCAUUUUUUCUUCUUCCCCAUUAUUUCUUCCUUUACUGUACUAAAUGAAGAUUGAGGUCCAUAACUUUGACCUGCAAGCACCUCAUUGUAGCCACUUGUUCAUUCUUUUUAAAGGUGCCCCCAGUCCUUGAGACAAUGACACCUUUUAGGUUGAAACAUUUCCUCAGAGAUUUUGAAUGCAAAUCUAUUUUCUAUCUUCAUAGAUUAGACAGGGUAUAUCCAUUUGAGUGUCCCCUUGAGCAUCUCUAGCCAUCUCAAUAAGCCCCAAGAACUCCAGGUGGGUAGAAUAUUAAGAAGAAACUCCCAAAUAUAUUUAGUUUUUAAUUUUUCUCGGCUGGUCCUGUGCAUGCUAGCAAUGAUCUCUUUUCCUACGUCUAUGGUUGCUCAAUGGAGCAGCAAAAACAUCGUAGAAGAAAAAAAAAAACAGAUUAGGGAUACUGUUUUGCUGAGCUUCAUGAAAAAAAUCACGAUUUACAAUAUACAAUAUUGUGAUUAUUUCCCGCGUUUCAUGUCUGGACUCAUGAUCUAGGCUUGUGGCUACAUAAGUUUUAUCCUGUACAGACUCAAGCAGCAGGUCAGAUACAUUCACAGGAACAACCUAUUCCCCAGCUGCUU
rnacentral:lncRNA from 1 species